rnacentral:lncRNA from 1 species
GCGGGGAGGGCGGGGUCUGGGCGCCUGGAGGAAGCCAGAGCUUUGGCGCAGGCCGCCUGCGCGCUGUGCCAGGAAAGCGCUUGGAGAAAAUGUCCGGCCCCGCGACCUGGGACAGGAAGUGAUGGAGCACGGACUUAGUUUGCCUUUCAGUUCUUGUAUAAAUAGUUUUGAGGGUUGUCUCUGAAUUUUCACUCAGUUGUCUACCAAGAUGUUGAAUGGACCCAGAGCCAAGGACGUGGUCUUUUAUCAGUGGCACCUGAGACUUUCUUCCCUGUGGACGCAAAUCCAUUAUUCAGCACUCUGGGCACAGCUACAGAUCUGAUCAGCUAUCCAUUCUCCAAACUAUCUCAUCCUCUGUCCCAUUUUUCUGUCUCUCUUGUCCACAAGGCAUAUACCUGAGAGUUUUCAAAUUCCUCAGAGAAAUUUAGAUAUUCUGUGGCUUUGGCAUUCACCUAAUGUGUUAAUCUACAAACCUUUUUUACAGUGUGGAUUUUUUUUCAUGAUGUGAAUUCAAGUGGUUUCUAAUGGUCUCUUCAUAAAGUUGUAAACCAAAAGUAAAAUUCUAAGGCCCCACCCCAUCUGAAUGGACCCCUUCUCUGGGCCAGGGCACUCCAAAUUAACCUGAAAACCGUUCAGGCCACGACAUGAAGUGGGGGCGGGUGGGACAUGGCUGACUAUGCCCUCCUCCCUUUUGGAAUUCAGGGAAAGCCAACACAGACCUUAAGUCUAAUGAGAAACACCAUCUAUUCUCUCUGAAGCCUGCUACCCCAAGGCUUCUUCUGCUGAUAAAACUUUGGUCUCCACAACCUCUUAUAACCCAGACAUUCCUUUCUAUUGGUAAUAACUCUCAACUAAUUGCCAAUCAGAACAUUUUUAAAUCUACCUAUAACCCAGAAGCCCCCACUUUGAGUUGUCCUGCCUUUCUGGACUGAACCAAUGUAUAUCUUGAAUAGAUUUGAUUGAUGUCUCACGACCCUCUAAAAUGCAUAAAACCAAGUUGCACCCCAGCCACCUCCUGAGGUCUGUGUCAUGGGCGUGGCCACUCUAUUUGGCUCAGAAUAAAUCUCUUCAAGUAUUUCACAGAG